GUCCUGGUGAAGAGUCCCAAAAUAGGACGAAGCAGUUGUCUAGUAC
rnacentral:hammerhead_ribozyme from 1 species